CUUGUAGAGAGUGGAGCAGUGUGAGGCUUCAGCUGAGACCCAGAGCGUCCAGUUUGGAAGCAGCUUGAGAGACAUGAGGCUCCUGCUGACAAUCGUUCUCAUCCUCCUUUUCCUAUGGCUUCGAAAGGCUCAGAUGUCCGAUGACGUCUUGCAUGGAAAUCCUUCUGAGGCCGCGUCCACGAGCCGGGCGGCUGCGUCGCUCCUCUUGUCCCCUCUGUCGCUGUACUCCUGGCUGGUGUCCACGCUGCUCCGACUCGUCC